GCUCCGUUUGGUCACCCCGCAGUGGAGCCGAGAACGUGGGGGUUUUAUCAGUCAUGAGACAUCACUGUGACCUGGACAGGGACCUGAAUCAGCAGGGUCACCCUGGAACCGAAGGCAAAUCUCACUGGUCAGACCGGGCAGGACCUGUCCCCAGUAAGAGCGCAUGACCUGGUGACGCAGCCACGGCUGUGCAUUUAAGAGGUUUUGGAAGCGUGCUCUGGACAUCUGGAGACGGAACAGAGCCUGGGGAGGGGAGUCCUAAGAGAAGUCUCAAAAGAGGUCUCCACGGAAUCAGCCCCAUGAAGCUGUUGUACAUUCUCCUCUUCGCUAUCUUCCUCAUGUCUGAAGUGACGCCAGCUUAUGGGCACGGUAGAGUGCAUACUUGGUGUGACUGGGAUAUAAGUGUGUGCCUGAAGAGGAAAAGAAACUGCAUCAAGCGCAUGCCCGGCAUGUGCCCUGGAAGAAGCUUCUGCUGUUUGAGAAUAAGUGAACCCGAGAAUUCUCGGUUCACGCCCUGACCCCGUCCGUGUUCAGUAAACUGAAGGGCUCAUGU